AGACGGGAUGAAUUUAUUUACUGUAUAAAGUCCAAGGUGCUUAUAAGAUUCCCUUUGUUUUCUCAAUGGUUCAUGGGAGAUUUUUUCUUGCAGUUCCCUGUCAUACAGAAACACAGUAAUGGAGUUGAAAGCUCAAUGUAUGAACCUUCUUGUAUCUAUCAGCACUUAGCAGGACUAUGUCAAUGCUUUCUUUAAAGCUGAAGACAUUUCACUGGAAAUAUGGAAAUACGAGCAUCAUACAUUUUCUUCACAUGAAUUGAUACGUCUGCUAGCAAUGAAGUCGUCAGCUCCACCAAUCAUUUGUUGCUGCAAGAGCAAACGCCUGUAAACUGAACUAUGAAAUGGUAUCUCAGCAGUCUUCUCCUG